rnacentral:rRNA from 1 species
AGCGGCGGACGGGUGAGUAACACGUGGGCAACCUGCCUGUAAGACUGGGAUAACUCCGGGAAACCGGAGCUAAUACCGGAUAGUAUCUUGAACCGCAUGGUUCAAGUUGGAAAGACGGUUUCGGCUGUCACUUACAGAUGGGCCCGCGGCGCAUUAGCUAGUUGGUGAGGUAAUGGCUCACCAAGGCAACGAUGCGUAGCCGACCUGAGAGGGUGAUCGGCCACACUGGGACUGAGACACGGCCCAGACUCCUACGGGAGGCAGCAGUAGGGAAUCUUCCGCAAUGGACGAAAGUCUGACGGAGCAACGCCGCGUGAGUGAUGAAGGUUUUCGGAUCGUAAAACUCUGUUGUUAGGGAAGAACAAGUGCGAGAGUAACUGCUCGCACCUUGACGGUACCUAACCAGAAAGCCACGGCUAACUACGUGCCAGCAGCCGCGGUAAUACGUAGGUGGCAAGCGUUGUCCGGAAUUAUUGGGCGUAAAGCGCGCGCAGGCGGUUUCUUAAGUCUGAUGUGAAAGCCCCCGGCUCAACCGGGGAGGGUCAUUGGAAACUGGGAAACUUGAGUGCAGAAGAGGAGAGUGGAAUUCCACGUGUAGCGGUGAAAUGCGUAGAGAUGUGGAGGAACACCAGUGGCGAAGGCGACUCUCUGGUCUGUAACUGACGCUGAGGCGCGAAAGCGUGGGGAGCGAACAGGAUUAGAUACCCUGGUAGUCCACGCCGUAAACGAUGAGUGCUAAGUGUUAGAGGGUUUCCGCCCUUUAGUGCUGCAGCUAACGCAUUAAGCACUCCGCCUGGGGAGUACGGUCGCAAGACUGAAACUCAAAGGAAUUGACGGGGGCCCGCACAAGCGGUGGAGCAUGUGGUUUAAUUCGAAGCAACGCGAAGAACCUUACCAGGUCUUGACAUCCUUUGCCACUUCUAGAGAUAGAAGGUUCCCCUUCGGGGGACAAAGUGACAGGUGGUGCAUGGUUGUCGUCAGCUC